rnacentral:rRNA from 1 species
CAAGUAAGACUAGUGUUAUUCAUCUUAAUUAGGUUUAAAGGGUACCUAGACAGUAUUUCUAGCCUCCAAAGGGGAACAGAUUUACUAGAGUUUUAUGUGAGAGGAAAAUAUUAGAACCAUUGGAGUAGUGAUAAAAUGUUUUGAUACUAAUGGGACGGAUAACGGCGAAGGCAAACCUCUAUGUAAUAACUGACGUUGAGGGACGAAGGCUUGGGUAGCGAAUAGGAUU